GGCGUAGGAUAUUUGAGAGGAGCUGCCCUUAGUACGAGAGGACCGGGGUGGACGGACCACUGGUGUAUCUGUUAGGAACCAAUCCUAUGGCAGAGUAGCCAAGUCCGGCAGGGAUAAACGCUGAAGGCAUCUAAGCGUGAAGCCCCCCUCAAGAUGAGAUAUCCCAAGUAAUAAGACCCCUUGAAGACUACGAGGUAGAUAGGGCCAAGGUGUAAGUGCAGUAAUGCAUUCAGCUGAUGGUUACUAAUAGGUCGAAAGCUUAUCCAG
rnacentral:rRNA from 1 species